rnacentral:tRNA from 1 species
AACUAUAUAGUCUAAAAAAGAUAUUAAAUUGCAAAUUUAAGGAUAAAUUAAAUUUUAUAGUUU